ACAACAAACACGAAAAUGGCGGAACCUGCUAGCAAGAAACAUCGCCCCAACUUCUCCAUCCAGGAAGUCCUAACGCUUCUUUUAACGGUCAGAGCAAGGUGGAAUACAAUUGUUGGCUCUCUCUCUCCUCUCCUCGCCAGCACCAUGAACCGUGGGUUGUUGUGGUGGUUGAAGCCUAACACUGUGAGCCGUACUAUCAGGAGCGUCUGUGAAGUGAGGAAGAAGUUCACUGACCUUAAAAGCAACACUAAAAAGAAAUUCGCUGAACUGCACAAGGAGCAGGCAGCUACAGGUGGAGGGCCAAGCACUCAACCUACCCUGACAGAUGCCGAGGAACUUAUGGCAUAGUUGCUAGAUCCUGUGGCAGUGAUGGGCAUGCCUAGCAGUCUUGAGGCAGAGGAGGAGGUCACAGUCGUGGAUGAGGAGGACCACAUGGAACAAUAUAUUUUGCCUCAUCAUUCAGCCAUACUUGCUAGUGUGGCUGAGGCAUCCAGAUUGUCCUCACCUCAGCCAGGGCCAACCCAGCAAAGCCACUACUGUCCCUCAUCAGUGCAGCCCACAUCACUUCGCACUCUCCCUAUCCACCCCUCAUCAUUCUGCACUCUCCCUGUCCAACCCUCAUCACCCCACAUUCUCCCUGUCCAGCCCACAUCACUCCGCACUCUCCCUGUCCAGCCUUCAUUACUCUGUCUUCUCCUUGUCCAGCCCUCAGCACUCUCAUCACCAUCUCCCUCUCAAGCACCUUCACCUGCUUUUGGGCCCAGCAGGCAUCAAACACCACUUCCAUUACCAUCUACCUCUCAAUAUCCCUCACCUGCUGCUGGACGAAGCAGUCAGCACACUCCACGCCCAUCUCCAUCUCCACCAUCAAGGAACUUUACCAGCUGCUGGUCCCAGGUGGAGACACACAAGCAGGGCAGAAAAUCUGGCAGAGCUUUGGAUGAUGGAAGGCGUACAGGAAGGCAUCUUCAUAGAAACCAGAAAUAUGAAGAGUUGCCGUGCAGAGGUUGAGACGCCAAUUAAAAAUAAUGAAUAAUAAUCUAAAUCGGUACAUGGGUUUGAUGACCAGCUGCCUAGUAAAAAUUGUAGAAAAAAAUAAUGUUAAGUUUUGCUGUUUG